GACGAACGCUGGCGGCGUGCUUAACACAUGCAAGUCGAACGGAAAGGCCCUGCUUUUGUGGGGUGCUCGAGUGGCGAACGGGUGAGUAACACGUGAGUAACCUGCCCUUGACUUUGGGAUAACUUCAGGAAACUGGGGCUAAUACCGGAUAGGAGCUCCUGCUGCAUGGUGGGGGUUGGAAAGUUUCGGCGGUUGGGGAUGGACUCGCGGCCUAUCAGCUUGUUGGUGGGGUAGUGGCUUACCAAGGCUUUGACGGGUAGCCGGCCUGAGAGGGUGACCGGCCACAUUGGGACUGAGAUACGGCCCAGACUCCAACGGGAGGCAGCAGUGGGGAAUAUUGCACAAUGGGCGGAAGCCUGAUGCAGCAACGCCGCGUGCGGGAUGACGGCCUUCGGGUUGUAAACCGCUUUCGCCUGUGACGAAGCGUGAGUGACGGUAAUGGGUAAAGAAGCACCGGCUAACUACGUG
rnacentral:rRNA from 1 species